UUAGUUAUGGGUGCGUGUGGAUUGCAUUUCUUUUAACUUAAGCCGCGUGCUAUCAGCGCGUGUGUUUUGCGCAUUUCACGCUCUCUUCUGCGGUUGCGCGAUUGUCUUAUCGGUAACGCUUGAUGUCGUUGGAUAUUUGGCAUGUUCUUUCGAUGUUGUGCAGAUAGUUCCGUGCCGAUCGCUGUUUUAUGCAGACGUACUUCUUGCGGGUCGUAUCAUUUUUUCACAUUCAGUUCGGGAUAUCGCGUUUUAUUCAUUCACUAAUUGCCUAUUUAGUGGUAACUAACAUGUAUAGUCUAUUGUUAAAUAUUUACCGCGGUAUGAAUCUCAAUAAGUGCUGGAUUUUUGUUCGCGUGUGACGUGUGCGUUGCAAUUUUCACAAAAUGGCCGCGUUCCUAACACUCUGGACGUUUACGGCUGUGGUGUUGUCGUCCAUUAUCGAGUGUUAUUGCUGCUUCUUCGACAUCGGACCGUUUUCGAAUUGUACCUACCGUGCCUUAAGACCUGAUAGACUGUAUGCAUUGUAUAUGCCGUGCCUUGGAUCUGCAUUGUACUUCCUAUGAUUACCUGAUGCACCGGUAAAU